rnacentral:misc_RNA from 1 species
AGUGUCGGCCGGCACAAA